CUUAUUUAAAAUAUUCGUAGUACACAUGGGAUAAGAAAUAAAUCUAUGAAAUAAAUCUCCCGAUCUGUUUAAAAUCUCUAUUUGUAUGAGAUUUAGUUCAAAUAGAAUUAAGAUUAAUAUCUUCUUUAUGGUUUAUAAAUAGAUGAUAUAUUGGCCGUAUACAAUAUACAAAAAAAAUUACAAUAAUUUUUUCACAAAAUUCUCUCUCCUGGAUUCGCUUUAGGGCUCCAUCAGAAACCCUAGAGAUUUGGGUGGUGUGCUGCGAUCGACUCUAGUAGCUGGUUCGCAACGAGAAAGAACAGUGUGCGAGAAAUCGAGGCAGAUUGUUAGUUGACGGAUCAAAGAGUUCGUAAAAUAAGACGAGAUCAGUUCCUGGUAAUCAUAAUACAAUUU
rnacentral:lncRNA from 1 species